UACGGAGGGUGCAAGCGUUAUCCGGAUUCACUGGGUUUAAAGGGUGCGUAGGCGGGCAGGUAAGUCAGUGGUGAAAUCCCCGAGCUUAACUUGGGAACUGCCGUUGAUACUAUCUGUCUUGAAUAUCGUGGAGGUUAGCGGAAUAUGUCAUGUAGCGGUGAAAUGCUUAGAUAUGACAUAGAACACCCAUUGCGAAGGCAGCUAACUACACGAUCAUUGACACUGAGGCACGAAAGCGUGGGGAGCAAACAGG
rnacentral:rRNA from 1 species